UAUACAAACACAAUCCCAAUUUCUAAAGAGACAAUACCUUGAGAUCGAAAGCAGCACUUCAACAAUGGUACUAAAAAUCUAUACAGAGAAUGUGACUCAAAGAUAAAGAAGUGGGAAAAAACGCACAAACAGUAUCAUGGCCAUAUUGUCACGUGAGUAAUUAUUUACAAAUGGAUUGUAAUGUUCCAAGAUAUUAAGACUUCCCUAGCUAUAUGCUUUUCCUUGUACCUCUGGCGAAUUUCACAAUGUUGGUGGAUAUCAAAUGACACGCGUGUCAAUGUUGAAACAACCCACUUGAAACAACCCACUUGUUUAAAAACUAAAAACAGUAGCAGCGGCUCCGAUCAAGCAGGUAUGGGCGUGUCUACACAAAUAUGUCCAAGUUAGUUGGGCGGAGUCCAACCAAUACGUGGAGGAUUGGACUCCAACUGGGGCGGAUCCAGGGGUAGGGGCAAAAACUACCUAUGUAUUGGAUACAAGAACCCUCCUGCCUAAAGACGACACAUCUUGACAACCAAGGCUCACACAGAACAGACGCACACAGAACCCCCCAGAACCCCCCUGCCUAAAGAUAAAUCACCACUGGCACACAACGGUGAACCUAUGCUAAUUUUAUAUAUGGUAUAUAGAUACACAUAGACUACAUGUACACCUUGCUAGGAUAGCAUUUCCUUGCUACUAUUACUUAGCAGUACUAACGUAACCUAUUAGUACAGUGAGUGUCCUGAUCCAUCCUAGAUCCUACAGCUACACAGUGCAGUACAGCCAGCUAGCAAUGGCGCCUUUUGUUGCACAUGCGUAAUCCCGCCCCACAGUUCAAUUAAUAAUUGUCACAGCAAGAGUAAGCUAUAAGGAGUUGAUUACUACUGCAGCCCUCCUUACAGUAGCUGUUCCCCUUGUGGAGUGCGUGAUCGCCCAAGAUAUGGUACUCCUGCAGGAGGCAGCUUUUAUCAGAAAUUUCUCUUUCCUCUAAUUGAGCUCUAUACGAUAUAAACACAAAACUGUCAUGGCAGACAGAGCUGCUAAAUGCACUGUGCUGUGCUGUACCAGUAUUUGUAGGUUCUAUAUAUAGAAGAUAUAGAAGGUGAGACCAUCUCCCUUUUUCUUCCUCUCCCCUUAAAAGUUUUGCUCUUUGUGCUAUAAAAUGCAGAAUAUUAGCUACAUGGUGGAAAACGUUGAUUCAAAUGGCCAACAUUUUUGCCUUGCAUGCACAGGAAGACACCAAUUAACACUAUACUCAACCAACUAUAAUCUUACUCUCUUCUGGAAGCCAAUUUCGCCUCAUAUUUUCGACAGAUGCAAGACGUCUAGGCUGGCUAUCAUUAAAAGUACGGCGGUGAAGCAUUCCAUACUAUAAUUAUAAUGUAUAACACAAGCCUAGCUCCUCUUCUUGAAGAGGAAAUCUGCAACGUUUUGAUUCUGCUGAUUAUAACAGUUAAUUAACAGUGUAAUCAGCUCACAUCGCAAGAUCAGGGGCAAACUUUUCAGAGACACUUUCGUGCAGUUUCUUUACUGCUGACUGGAAUCAUUGCAGUUAGAUUGACAACUUACCGAGAGCAUAGCUUUGUACAGUUUUUUCUUUAAUUCGUUCUUCAAGGAUGGUUUGAGCACUGGUUAUUAAAUGCAAUUUCUGGAGUGUCACUAAUCAUUUUCAUCAUCUCAUCCAUUCUUGAGGAUAAUUCAACAAACUGCUGAAAGGCAUACAAUUAUCAAAUUGUCUUGGCGGGUAUGAGGACUGAGUUGCUAGACUGUAGUUGUCUAGUGAGAGAGGUCUAUAAAAUCCUCCUAUAGUGCAAAUGAUAGGCUAUCUAGCUACUCAGUCAGCUGAGCUGCCUUGCCAUACCACAAUCUGCAGAUCUAACCACUGCAUUCAGUUUUUCUGAUAAGACAAGACAAAAGGGGAUUCAUAUGUACUUGCGUACAGUCUACGUAGAGCUAUAGCUAGACUCGACUCGGAUAGCAUCAGUUCCAGCAUGAGCUCUGAGUUGUUUGGUGAACCAUCCAGUCCUACCCACCCCCAGUACAGAUCAUCAACAUGAAGAAUGUGAAGAUCAUAUGCAGCACUAGAAGCACCAAGUCGCCAUUCAGUGGAAGAUAAGCGCAGUACAAAAAAGAAGCGGAAGAGACAGCAGAGAGUCUUAAGAAAGGUAACAUUGAAAGAACAGUUACGCAAGGAAAGAGAUGCUCUAAGAAAUGAACAACAAGCCACCCUAGAGCAUGGCUACUAAAACGCAAAGAAGCACACAGAGAAAAUCUGACGGCUGCAAUUCACCAAGUUCGAAGAGAUCUAGACAUACUUUUGCGCAUCGAUGUUGCUUUCUCCAAUUCACAUAUGCAAACAAGUAGGUUUCAGUCUGUGGAUGACAAGCAGCGGUUUAACUUUAGAUAGUUUUCCUACAUUUAACUGUCGCUUGCUAACUGUCAGUUGGAAGGCCAGUGUGCCAUAAUAACGGAGGAUGAGAUGUUGUUAGGACCAGGUUUAACAGAUCCAACUAAAUCACUAGCAAUCAGUAUUGAAGAAGUAGGACAGGUGUAUUAUAUCUUUAUGCGGAUACAUGUGAUCGUAUACAGAUUUUAGCUGUUGAAACAUGAGAACUUUUUGCUGGAAUGGUCAAAAGAAAUUUCAGUACCAGCAGUUGACGAGUAACAUCAUGCCUACAACGGUGCCAAAUGUUGACUUACGGUAUGACCGAGAGGAAAUUUUCAUUAGAGAGCUUCUUGAUCUAAACAAAACCUUGCUGUGAUUCUAUAGAUUUUUUAAAGUAGAUUUUUUAAAGUAGCUAAACACGAAAAACAAUCAAGAUUGUAUUUUCUUCGUUUCCAAAGGCAUUUGUCUUUGCAUAGACUAUGAUUAAGUUUCCCGGUAAACUUACCCGGGGUAGAAAGCGAAACACGGCAUUUCUACAUAGACUUCAUUUCUUCCGUUGCCAAUCCUAUCUAUGUCUAUAUCUAUAUCCAAUCCUAUCUAUAUCUAUCUUGGAAGCCACACACCCCUUUACGCCGUGAACCCCAUAGCCAUGUAUUUGAUUGUGCAAGUUAGUCAAACUAGUCAAAAAUCUACAUGAUGAUCCCGAAUCAGUAUACUUAAAGCAGUGAGUUGUACUUAGAUCUAGAGCCCAGAGCACACUAUUAAUAGUGUGGCUCAUCACCUUACAACUUUGACCUUUACUACAUGUGACUAUAAAAUAUCUGCAUCUUCUCUCUACAGUAGAGUGUAUUUGGGAGAGAAACACACUGGGAAGGCUGAAGGUUUUUUCACAAGAAGAGCCGAGGCAGUUUGGUGGUGACUGGUUUGGUGGUGACUGGUGAAACGAGAUUCAAUCUGAGAAAUGAGUUCAGCAGGAAUGUUGGAUCUAUGUGACGAGGCAGAGACGGCUCAGCUCCUACACUGUGGCACAUUUGUUCAACUGUUGUGAUCAUGUUGUGAUCAAUCUACUCCACCUUCACCAAUGAGCUCCAACUCAGCUUGAAUCACCUUGAUUUAUUCUGCACUUGCACUGUCAAAAUGUGCUUACUGACCCUUUUUUUAGGUAAAAUUCCAAGCGGGGAAUUUCUGUUUAUAAUUAAUUUUUGGUGUGGACUUGGAAGAAGAAGGAAGAAGCUGUGGGUCGAAGGCACCUGUACCGGUACUGACUCUAGGUUUAGGUUUGAGUUUGACGAGCACAUCCUCUCGCUGCAAGGUGAUGACGAUGACCAUAACGAUGACGACGAUGACGACAUUACACAUGAAACAGAUCCAUUGGAAGCAACGCUUGUACGGAUCCCUUCACGCACCACUGGUAACGCUCUCGGUCCAAUGGAGCUCUCUGUGAUUCUGUGAUGGAAGACGAGGAGGAGGAGGUUACAACUUUUGUGCGUGACACCUGUGGAUGCAAACUUGCUAAUGGUAGCCCUUCACACGAGGAACUCGACAUGGCUCUUUUGGAACAAAUUUCAAAUUUUGGCCUGCACUAAUCGUAGCGAUGGUGUGAAUCUCGACACGUAGCGGUAUCACUUGGAUGCAAUUAGAUUGACUUAGACUAAAACUUUGAGUCCAUUUUCAUUUAAUAUUAUGACUAAAAUACAAAAAUUAAGAUGACGACCUUUACCAUUUAACAAUAUACGUAGACAUUCUGCCGGCCAAGCCACAAAAGAGUUCUCGCAUGGUAGUCCGUCUAGACCAAACGAAUCAAGACAGCAUAGUGUCCUCCUAUACAUGUUGGAUUCGUACAGGAAGUGUUGCAUGAUGCACAGUAGCGAUCUUCGAUCAUGGGAGACAACUUGGAGCAGUGUGUGACAGUGUAAGAAGUUUUGUCAAAUCAGCAUAGGAGAACAUAUAAAAUGUUGUUAGAAGUGAGGACACUGAGUUUAACGGGUUUGACUUCAAUAUAGGAGCUACAUGCUACAUUCAACAGUCCUUCCGUACCCUGAUUAAAGAGGUGGUGGCCCAAUUCCACAAUUCCAAUUCCACAAUUCCAGUCAUGUGAUAUUCGAUCGGCUGCCUACACAUACUAUCGAAGUAAGCAUCAGGAGCAGUCCCUGAAAGAGAGAGGAGUCUAUGCCGAUCGAAAUAGAAGAGAAAGACUUUUGAGG